rnacentral:rRNA from 1 species
UCAAGUUAUUAAGGGCUCACGGUGAAUGCCUUGGGAUCAAGGACCGAUGAAGGGCGCGGUAAGGCUGCGAUAAGCCUCGAUUAGCCGUCUAACGGGCUUAGUCGAGGAUUCCCGAAUGGGGAAACCUGUUCCGGUGUUGAGCCGGUUCAUCUGCAUAGCAGAGGGUAAGUGGGGGAACUGAAACAUCUAAGUACCCCGAGGAAAAUAAAUCAACCGAGAUUCUCUUAGUAGUGGCGAACGAACGGGGAAUAGGCCAAACCCCUAUGACUUAGUGGUGUAAGGACCUAUGUCAUAGCGGUGUCGUAGGAGGCAUCUGAAAUCGCCUUGCCAGAUUUCAAGAAGUUACAAAACAUGAGUUUAGUCGAAGGACCCUGGGAAGGGCCGUCGUAGAGGGUGAUAGCCCCGUAGACGAAAAGUUCAUGUCUUCUGAUGCAUUUCCUAAGUACCACGGGACACGAGAAAUCUUGUGGGAAGUCGGGGGGACCACCCUCCAAGCCUAAAUAUCCUUGAUCACCGAUAGCGAACAAGUACCGUGAGGGAAAGGUGAAAAGAACCCCUAGCGGGGAGUGAAAUAGACCUGAAACCGUGAGCUUACAGAAGGUCGUAGUCCUGAUUUAUCAGGAUGUCGGCGUGCCUAUUGAAGAAUGAUCCAGGGAGUUACUUUAUGUAGCGAGGUUAAGAAACUGUAGUUUCGGAGCCGAAGCGAAAGCGAGUCUGAAUAGGGCGACUAGUUUCAUAGAGUAGACACGAAACCGAGUGAGCUAACCAUGGCCAGAUUGAAGGUCCGGUAACACGGACUGAAGGAUCGAACCCGUAGCUGGUACAAAAGCUUGGGAUGAGCUGUGGUUAGAGGAGAAAUUCCAAUCGAACUCGGAAAUAGCUUGUUCUCCCCGAAAUGUAUUUAGGUACAGCCUCGGAUUAAAGAUGAACGGAGGUAGGGCACUGAAUGGGCUAGGGGCCGUAAGGUUACCAAACCCAAUCAAACCACCAAUGCCGUUUAAUUGUUAUCCGGGAGUGAGACAGUCACAGAUAAGUGCGAUUGUCAAAAGGGAAACAGCCCAGACCACCGGCUAAGGCCCCCAAGUGCGGGCUAAGUGGGAAACGAGGUGGGAUUCCCUAGACAACUAGGAGGUUGGCUUAGAAGCAGCCAUCCUUUAAAGAGUGCGUAAUAGCUCACUAGUCAAGGGGUCCUGCGCGGAAAAUGUAACGGGGCUAAAGCCCGUCGCCGAAGCCGUGGAUUUUAGUAUGUAUUUACUGGGAUGGUAGGGGAGCGUUCCUCGGGCAGUGAAGUUGUAUCGUGAGGUACAGUGGAGCGCGGGGAAGUGAGAAUCCUGGAAUGAGUAGCGUUAACAAGGGUGAGAAUCCCUUGCGCCGGAAGCCCAAGGUUUCCUACGCAAUGUUUAUCAGCGUAGGGUUAGUCGGUCCUAAGCCGUAGGCAAAUGCCGAAGGCGAUGGACAGCAGGUUAAUAUUCCUGCACCGCCUGUUUUUUGUUGAUACUCGGAGGGGUGCGGAAGGGUAGAUAGGGCGUGCCUAUUGGACAUGGUACGUUCUUGACUGUAGGUAGUUGGAGCAGGAAAAUCCACUCCAACGUUACACUGAGAGUCGAGAAAAUCGGAUCCUACGGGAGUAAGAAAUCCUAUUGAACCCAAGCCGACUAGAAAAGCUUCGUUUGUAGAAACUCAGGCGACCGUACCGCAAACCGCCACUGGUGGGCAGGUAUAAAAGUACCAAGGCGUGCGAGAUAACCUCCGUUAAGGAACUAGACAAAAGAGCCCUGUAACUUUGGGAGAAAGGGCCCCCCGGAUGGUGAAGGCCACUUGCUGGCACAGCUUUUUGGGGGCGCAGAGAAGAAGCCCGGGCGACUGUUUAACAAAAACACAGGUCUGUGCUAAGGGGAAACCCUACGUAUACAGGCUGACACCUGCCCAGUGCUGGAAGGUUAAGGGGAGGGGUGAGAGCCUCGAACUGAAGCCCCAGUGAACGGCGGCCGUAACUCUAACGGUCCUAAGGUAGCGAAGUCCCUUGUCGGGUAAGUUCCGACCCGC